GAUGAACGCUGGCGGCGUGCCUAAUACAUGCAAGUCGAGCGAACAGACGAGGAGCUUGCUCCUCUGACGUGAGCGGCGGACGGGUGAGUAACACGUGGAUAACCUACCUAUAAGACUGGGAUAACUUCGGGAAACCGGAGCUAAUACCGGAUAAUCUAUUGCACCGCAUGGUUCAAUAGUGAAAGACGGUUUUGCUGUCACUUAUAGAUGGUUCCGCGCCGCAUUAGCUAGUUGGUAAGGUAACGGCUUACCAAGGCAACGAUGCGUAGCCGACCUGAGAGGGGGAUCGGCGACCCGGGAGCGGAGACGCGGUCCAGACGCCUACGAGAGGCAGCAGUAGGGAAUCUUCCGCAAUGGGCGAAAGCCUGACGGAGCAGCGCGGCGUGAGUGAUGAAGGUCUUCGGAUCGUAAAGCUCUGUUAUUAGGGAAGAACAAAUGUGUAAGGAACUGUGCACGGCUUGACGGUACCUAAUCAGAAAGCCACGGCUAACUACGUG
rnacentral:rRNA from 1 species